rnacentral:rRNA from 1 species
AGCGAACGCUGGCGGCAUGCUUAACACAUGCAAGUCGCGCGGGUGGUUUCGGCCAUCAGCGGCGGACGGGUGAGUAUCGCGUAGGAAUGUAUCCCGAGGUGGGGGACAACCCUGGGAAACUGGGGCUAAUACCGCAUGGGGCCUGUGGGUCAAAGCCUUAGGGCGCCUUGGGAGCAGCCUGCGUCCGAUUAGGUAGUUGGUGGGGUAAAGGCCUACCAAGCCUGCGAUCGGUAGCUGGUCUGAGAGGACGAUCAGCCACACUGGGACUGAGACACGGUCCAGACUCCUACGGGAGGCAGCAGUGGGGAAUAUUGGACAAUGGGCGCAAGCCUGAUCCAGCAAUGCCGCGUGGGUGAAGAAGGUCUUCGGAUUGUAAAGCCCUUUCGGCGGGGACGAUGAUGACGGUACCCGCAGAAGAAGCCCCGGCUAACUUCGUG